GAUAAAGCCAAUAAAUCACAAAUGUCAAACUCAAGGCCCACAGGCCAAAUCUGGCCCUUUGCAAAGUUUGAUCUGGCCCCCAUAUCAUUUUAGAUUCACAAUCGAUUUUGGACUGACUAGUUAUUGUCACUUUUUACAAAGUUUUGGGCAUUUUUU